rnacentral:lncRNA from 1 species
GAGUUAUUGCCCUUUAUAGUCAAUUUUUAACCAUUUUUCGUUAAUUAAAGUAAUCUUUUACAAAAAUCUUCUCCUCUGAAACUACUUGGCCAAAUUAAUCCAAACUUGGCCACAAUCAUCUUUGGGGUAUCUAGUUUAAAAAAUGUGUGGCGUGACCUGGUCAACCAACCAAGAUGGCCGCCACGGCUAAAAAUAGAACAAAGGGGUAAAAUGCAGUUUUUGGCUUAUAACUCAAAAACCAAAGCAUUUUGAGGAAAUCUGACACGGGAUAAAAAUGUUUAUCAGGUCAAGAUCUAUCUGCCCUAAAAUUUUCAGAUGAAUCGGUCAAUCGGUUGUUGGGGUUGCUGCCCCUGAAUUGGUAAUUUUUGAGGAAAUUUUGCUGUUUUUGGUUAUUAUCUUGAAUAUUAUUAUAGAUAGAGAUAAACUGUAAACAGCAAUAAUGUUCAGCAAAGUAAGAUCUACAAAUAAGUCAACAUGACCAAAAUGGUCAGUUGACCCGUUUUAGGAGUUAUUGCCCUUUAUAGUCAAUUUUUAACCAUUUUUCGUAAAUUAAAGUAAUCUUUUACAAAAAUCUUCUCCUCUGAAACUACUUGGCCAAUUUAAUCCAAACUUGGCCACAAUCAUCUUUGGGGUAUCUAGUUUAAAAAAUGUGUGGCGUGACCUGGUCAACCAACCAAGAUGGCCGCCACGGCUAAAAAUAGAACAUAGGGGUAAAAUGCAGUUUUUGGCUUAUAACUCAAAAACCAAAGCAUUUUGAGGAAAUCUGACAGGGAAUAAAAAUGUUUAUCAGUUCAAGAUCUAUCUGCCCUGAAAUUUUCAGAUGAAUCGGUCAAUCGGUUGUUGGGUUGCUGCCCC